CCGGGUCACUUCCGAAAGGAUUCCUCGUGUGCGGAGCCCCGGGAGGCCCCGCAAAGGCUGCUCCUGCUCCUUCACUUGGCACUCAGCCCUUUUAAAUUACAGAAUCAUAGAAUCACUGCGUUGGAAGGGACCUCCAAGAUCAUGGAGUCCGAUGCAGCCCUAACACCUCAGCUAAGCCAUGGCCGCAUCCAGCCUUUCUUUAAACACAUCCAGGGAUGGCGACUUCAACUCCCCGGGCAAACCACUCCAGUGGGGAAGUGUGACUCUCACCAGCCCCUUUCUGCUCCGGGGUACCCCUGCGAUUCAUUAAAAAGCUGGGAAGGAUGAAGGAUCCUUGGCCAUGUGGGUAUUUAAAUCCCAGGUUUCUGGUGGAGCCUUCAGCUGUCAAAAAACCCCAUCAAUACACAGUUGGAGCAAAUGAAGCCAACUUCAAGCCUGUGGAAGUCAUGCUCUUGUCUUUCAGUGUUAAGCAAAUGCUGUAGAUGUUACUGUAGAAAUACUGAACAUUUCCACAGAAAACAUUUCCCCUCUCCAUGAGGGUUUAUUAGAUGUCAUGGUAACCAGAACAGACAAUUGCAAUGGAAAUGGAAGAGCUCCCUCCCUCUCCCCUGACUGUCCAUUGUCAAAAACAUCAGUGGCUGACUUCCCAAUCCCUUUAGGGACUUCCACAGGAGUUUUAAUUGAGUUUGAAGUAUAUGGUGACUCCAAGACAACCAGAGCAAAUGCUUGGGAGGAGUGACAUCUGUGACAAAAAGCAUUCAAAGCCUUUUGUUUAGGGACUCUGCAGAAUCCUAAUAAGAAAUCACAAACCCAAGCAAUGGGUGUUCCAGCAUUUUCAUUCUUGUUCUAGAAGCACAGGCUGUGGAAAAAACUUGGAUCAUCCAAUACAUCAUGUCUUCAUGGAAAAAACAGGGAAAUAAUAUCUUCUUGGAACAUGAUAUUAAA